AACUAGUGAAUAGCUAAUUUGAGAGCAAUUGUAUAAUAGCUGUGGGGUAUUUUUUUGAGUGUGAGUUGUAAACUUUUAAAGUUGUGUUUUGAGUAUCAAAACACUUAAAAUCUUUAUCUUCUUCUUUUAGUGAAAUUUAUUGUCGUCUUUGCCCAUAGAAGUAGUCUUUAAAAUUGAACCACGUAAAUUCUUGUAUCCUUUUAUUUAUUCCUUUUCACACAUUAUUUCUUGUGGUGUGUACUAUUUAAUUCUUAUAAAUUUAUUUGUGGUUGUAUUAACAGACUUGACCUUAUCCAUCCUCUACAGUCCUGGUUCCUAAGACUGCUAGUCCUAAUCAUGUGAAACAUUAUAGAUCCAUUUCAUGUUGUUCGAAGAUGUAUAAAUGUUUCACUAAAAUCAUGGUGAUGAGACUUACAAAGUAUCUUCUUACUAUGAUUUCUCCAAGCCAAAGUGCCAUUGUAAAAAAAGGGAGCAUUUCAGAUAACAUUCUUAUGGCGUAGUAGUUAGUUAAAGGGUACAAUAGAUGUUCAUUAUCUUCUAGAUGUGCGUUGAAAAUUUAUCUACAAAAGGUGUUUGAUUCUCUCAGCUAGGAGUUGAUGAUUAUUGCGGUGUUGAAAGCUAUGGAUGUUCCUACUUUGUUUAUUCAGUGGAUUAAAGUUUUCCUUACUACUCCUAGGUAUUCUAUUUCCAUUAAUGGUGGGAUGAAUAGUUUCUCUAAAGGCAAAAGAGGCAUCGGGCAGGGAGAUCUUUUAUCUCCCUAUAUGUUUGUGUUGUCCAUGAAUGUUAUUUCUAAGUUUCUUGAUGUUGUUGAUGCUAAUGGAGUUUUUCAGUUUCAUCUUAAAUGCCACGAGAUUAAACUGACUCAUCUGUGUUUUGUUGACAAUCUUCUCGUUUUUUUUCUAGAGGAACUCUUGAAUCCGUUGUUGAUAUUUGGAGUGUUUUAAGUCCAUUUUACUUGAUUUCAGGUUUUACAGAGAGUAAGCUUCCUGGUCAUUGCUUAGGUCUUCCCUUCGUUACUAGGGAUGUGGCAGUGUAAGAUUGUGCAGCCUUGAUUGAAAGAGUUAAGAACAGAAUCUCGAAUUGGUGUGUUGGUUUUCAUAGCUAUGCUAGACGAAUGCAAAUUAUUCAGUAUGUUAUUUUUAAUAUUCAAAAAUUUUGGAGUAACCACUUCAUUUUGCCUAAAUCAGAUUUGAGGAAGAUUAAUCAGCUUGGGAAGAGUUUUUUUUUUUUUUUGUGUGUGUGUGUGUCUGUGUGUGACAGGAUGUGGCUGCUAAGGGGGCUCAAAUUAGUUGGAGUCAUAUUUUCUUCUUAAAAGCAUAAGAUGGUUUGGGUAUGAAAGACUUGGAGAGUUGGAAUAAAGCAUGUAGAUUGAAGUUAAUUCCUCAGGUGCUUACUGGUGAGGGUUCAAUCUAGAUUGCUUGGUUGAGGAGUUAUGCGAAGGAUGUUUAUUUUUGGUAGAUGGUUCCUAGACCCAAUAUGAGUUGGGUUUGGAGGAAAAUCCUGAAACUUCAAAGUGAACUGCUCCAAUUCAGAAUUUAUUAAUUUCAGUUUCUAAAAUACGUGUUCAAAAGGAUAGGGUGGUCUGGCACAAAUUGGUCUGAUUUCCUUUGCAUAUAUAUACCAAAGCACUGGAUAGUUUGCCAACGAAAGACAGGUUACUUAAAAAGAGGAAUUGAUGUUGAAGAUGCAAGCUGUGUGAGAGGGAAACAGAAAGUAGAAGUCAUUUGUUUCUUGAAUGCACUUUUUUCUAAUAUGAUCUACAAAGAGGUACUUCUUCUUACACUUAUCAUGAAGCGUGCUUGGUGUGCCUAUGUGUACUUGAUACACGAUGAGAGUAACAAAAGACAAUUUAAAAGGUUGCAAUCUUGUGCUGACUGAAUCUUAAUUUGAUUGGCAUCGAUAGUAUUGUCAGUACAAGAGGACGUGAAUUCGAAUACGCUAAAGCACAUUAUCCUCUAAUUUAAAUGUUAGAAGAAGUUAUGAAUAGUUAUAGGCAUUGCAUCUAAAAAAGCAAAUAUAAUCAAACCUUAUAAUGAAAUUGUUAAAAGAAAUUGCAGUCUAGUGAAGCUGACGUGUUUUGAUUGGUUAACUUUAUAUUUAGAUUUGUAACAAUUAUCUACUCCUUGGGUGAUAAUACAAUUAUUUAUCUAACUUUUAAACCUUAUUAAUUGUAUCUACGCAUUCAUUUUAUUUUAUUUUUACUUUUGAAGUUUUCUAUG